GGGAGCAGACACUAGGCAAUGAUGUCAUCGUCCCGGCGGAGUAACAACACAAAGUGACUGUUUGAGCCAGCCAGCAGGAGGAGGAGACUGGAGCACCUUCGCUCCUCAGCGCAUCCUCUACCUGGAUCUUCAUGAUGUCAUCGUCCCCAAAGGCCGUGCAGGACGUACCCGGAGUUGCAGGUGAUGGUGCAGCGGUCUCCAUUGAAGAACUGGCGGCCGAGACUACUGCACUUGAGCUCUGCAUUGCGGAUUAAGGGUUCCUGGCAGU